rnacentral:rRNA from 1 species
UACGAAGGGUGCAAGCGUUAUUCGGAAUCAUUGGGCGUAAAGCGCGCGCAGGCGGAUUAAUAAGUCAGGUGUGAAAAUCUCGAGGCUCAACCUCGAAACUGCGCCUGAAACUAUUAGUCUAGAGUGUUGGAGGGGGUAGGGGAAUUUCACGUGUAGGGGUAAAAUCCGUAGAGAUGUGAAGGAACACCGGAGGCGAAGGCGCCUACCUGGACAACUACUGACGCUGAGGCGCGAAAGCGUGGGGAGCAAACAGG